CCAUUCCCUCACCCUAUCUUCUUCUCCUUCGGCUGAAACCCUAACACACUCACCCCUAUCAAACUAAAUUUCAUCACUUUCUUGUUGUGCUCCUCUCGGUCUCCAUAUCUAACCUAAAUUAAGAACCCCAUAUGCUUCACCUUACCAGAACGCUGCUCUCUUCUCCAUCUUCUUCAUCUCCCUCCUCCUAAUCAGAGAAACGAAACCAUAAUCCAUGUACCCAUAAAUUAAUACUCUAAUUUCAUUGGAAAUAGAUACCGAACCAAGUAGAUCUGAUGUUCUCUUAAGAUUCGGAUUGAAAUUAGAGUUUUGAUUUGGGGAUUUUGUUAGGGUUUCUUUUGAUUUCAUAAAAAAUGCUUUACGUUUGGUUUGAUUUUCAACAAACUUUAUCAGCAAUCAGUAGAAGAACAUUCAACAUCUUCACUUGAAUUUGUUGAAGAUUCUCAGGUAAUGGAGAUGGUGGUGCUUUUGAUUGUCAUUUACAGGUCAGUGGCAUGUCAUUGGUGGAUUUUGUUGGUGUUGCUGCUAGGCAUGCAACAUAUGUUUCACACACAGCUGGUAGGUACUCAGCAAAAAGGUUUAGGAGUGCCCAAUGUCCAGUUGUGGAGAGGCUUACCAAUUCCCUGAUGAUGCAUGGGCGAAACAAUGGGAAGAAGAUCAUGGCAGUUCGCAUAUUUAAGCAUGGCAUGGACAUCAUCCAUCUCCUCACAGACCAAAACCCCAUCCAAUUUAUUGUAGAUGCUGUCAUCAACAGGUGGUCCCCAGUUUAAGCCGUUGUAUCAUGAUACGGGUAAAUGGAAUGAGUUUAAUGAUGGAAGAAAAUCGAAAGAACAGCCAGAGAUUCAUCAAGCAAUCUCACUCUGAGUCUCACUCAUAAAUUCCCGAAGUCCAUCUUCCUGAGGACCCAUUCUUGCAGAUUGCUGCUGGGUUGAGAAUUGCGAUUAACAGGGCUCUAACUUUCUUGCGCGAGAUUGCUUCAGGACAUGAUUUGAAGGAGUUUCUUGAUAAUUUUUUGUUGAUGAAAACUCGCAAUUGAAGGCCAUUGAUUUUGGCUUGCCGAUUUUGUGAAACCAGAUGAAAGGCUUAAUGACAUCGUUGGCAGGUCAUCCUUGGAUUAGUAGCUACGAUGAUAUUCAGGCUCAUGAAAGCCUAUAUGCGCUCAUCAUCUCUAUAUAAAGCUGCGUUAAGAGGAAAUAAGAGACUUGGACAAAAAUGUUUCAAGUAGAAACUCCUCAGAAGUCAGGUGCUGAUGGCAAGAAAGGUGGUACUCCUUACCACAAGGGAGGAAAGACCCCUGCAAGUGGAUGCAAGUCAAACAAAUCUCUAAAAUCUACUGGGUCAGUUUCAUGUGAUUCUUAUAUCAAGGCAUUCGGUACAGUUCACAGUCAAGAACUGCAAUAGGUUGUUGGUGUCUACUAGUUUGUUCAGACACUUACUUUUUGGUGCCUAGGAAGUUUGUUUUCUUACUUGCAAUCAUAUUUGUUUCUUUGUUCAUAAUGAUUAGAAUGAUUUUUUGCAAAUAUGUAUGUAUGAAUUGUAAAUUGCGGAUUGUUUGCUAAUUGCCGGCCUGUGUUUCAGGUUCAGUUGUUCUAUUGCAGGCCUAUGUUUCAGGUUUAAUUGUGCAGGCCUGUAAACUGGAAGGCCAGGUCCAGGAUAAUGACCUGGACUAUCCAUUUUUUUUAG